CUUUCCUCACUGGAUGAAGCGAUGUAACCCACAUAAACAAACCGGCUAAGAGGCUGAUAACUCCUGGUAAAUUAGCAAUACCAACCCUUUUCCACUCCAAUAACUGCAUGAAACAAUCAACACCAAAAACAGUUAGUCACUACUAAUGCAGAGGGUAAGCAUCUGACACAGGUAUAUUGAUUUGUUUUUAAAUGAAGUGUCCAAGUAACAUAGCUGGCAUCUACGUUAGAGAUAUAAAUAUACAGCAAGCAUAAAAGAAUGAGUUAAACCCAAAACUCACUUCCUUCACAAGAGUUCCAUUCAUUGCCCAUCCAAUUACAUAGAACAAUCCAUGUAGUGUAAAGAGCAUCAUGGUAAGAUGUCCCAACCAUACAUGAUAUCUUGUAGCAUGCUCAAAAGGGAUGUCUAUAAGACGAAGAAGAAGCGAACCCCUUGAAACAGGGAGGAACAAAAAUAUCAAGCAGAGCAACCCCAACAUCCCGCAUCGAAGUCCCGUAAGUUCCAACAUGAAUCGACUGAAAAAAGAUGAAAGAUGAUAUUAGCCCUCUAUAACAAACUACGCUAGUAAAUGACAACUUUCAGAUGCUAGUAAUGGAACUAAUGAAGUUGGUAAACAUUGGAAUCACAUCUAAUGCAUCCCAAAACUAUUUAUAAAAACUAGAAAUCGAUAAUAUAGGCAUCUAUGUAACUCAAACACGGGAUGUGAGUAUCAGACAUGAGUAUAUCCAUGUAUUAGAGCGCUUUUAGAUGAUCAUAUGAACAUAUCCUCAAACAUUAUGGUCCCAAUAUACAUCAGACACAAGUACAUCAAGAAAAACGAAGAAUCAAAGGAUAUUUUACCCUGUUUCUGAAGAAGAAAUGUCAAAAAGGGUCAAGAGGCUAAUGUUCCGCAAGGUGUAAGCAUACAUCGCCCAUAUGAUGAAGACAACAAAGAGGGUUAUCCCAAUGAACUCAGCUGCAGACACAACCCCAAAUGGUCCAUCCACAAGAACAGGGAACGUCCACAAACGAAACCUUGGUUUCUU
rnacentral:lncRNA from 1 species